AACGAACGCUGGCGGCAUGCCUAACACAUGCAAGUCGAACGAGAUCUUCGGAUCUAGUGGCGCACGGGUGCGUAACGCGUGGGAAUCUGCCCCUUGCUUCGGAAUAACAGUGAGAAAUUACUGCUAAUACCGGAUGAUGUCUUCGGACCAAAGAUUUAUCGGCAAGGGAUGAGCCCGCGUAGGAUUAGGUAGUUGGUGGGGUAAUGGCCUACCAAGCCGACGAUCCUUAGCUGGUCUGAGAGGAUGAUCAGCCACACUGGGACUGAGACACGGCCCAGACUCCUACGGGAGGCAGCAGUGGGGAAUAUUGGACAAUGGGCGAAAGCCUGAUCCAGCAAUGCCGCGUGAGUGAUGAAGGCCUUAGGGUUGUAAAGCUCUUUUACCAGGGAUGAUAAGGACAGUACCUGGAGAAUAAACUCCGGCUAACUCCGU
rnacentral:rRNA from 1 species